rnacentral:rRNA from 1 species
GACGAACGCUGGCGGCGUGCUUAACACAUGCAAGUCGAACGGAAAGGCCCUGCUUUUGUGGGGGGCUCGAGUGGCGAACGGGUGAGUAACACGUGAGUAACCUGCCCUUGACUUUGGGAUAAUUUCAGGAAACUGGGGCUAAUACCGGAUAGGAGCUCCUGCUGCAUGGUGGGGGUUGGAAGGUUUCGGCGGUUGGGGAGGGACUCGCGGCUUAUCAGCUUGUUGGUGGGGUAGUGGCUUACCAAGGCUUUGACGGGUAGCCGGCCUGAGAGGGUGACCGGCCACAUUGGGACUGAGAUACGGCCCAGACUCCUACGGGAGGCAGCAGUGGGGAAUAUUGCACAAUGGGCGGAAGCCUGAUGCAGCAACGCCGCGUGCGGGAUGACGGCCUUCGGGUUGUAAACCGCUUUCGCCUGUGACGAAGCGUGAGUGACGGUAAUGGGUAAAGAAGCACCGGCUAACUACGUG